AUGAGCAGAGCUUCCUGGUUCUGCAAGUACCUUCUGAAAUGCUUCUUUUGUUUCUGGAAUGCACUGGAUAGUCUCUUUUGCAAGCAAACCUUCAAAAUCCUUGAGAAGCGAGCAGUAUUUCAUCAGGAGAGAAAUGGCACCCCCUCCAGCUAUAGUUUCCACCUUGAUGUUCUUUUCUUACUUGGUAAUUGGCUUUUGUUUAUUAAUUCUAUGUAUUUUCCUAUUGUUUCUAAAAUUUUUUAGUCCAUUCCUUUGGGUUUUCUCUGUUUACAGGUUUAUGAUAAAAAAUUAAUUCCAAGGGGCACCUGACUUGCUCAGUCAGUGGAGCGUGUGACUCUUCAUCUUGGGACUGUGGGUUUGAGCCCCACGUUGGGUAUAGAGAUCAUUUAAAGGUAAAAUCUUAAAAAAGAAAGAAAGUGACAUUAAUUCCAAAUACAGUUCGUUAUU
rnacentral:tRNA from 1 species